ACGAACGCUGGCGGCGUGCUUAACCCCUGCCAGUCGAACGGUAAGGCCCUUUCGGGGGUACACGAGUGGCGAACGGGUGAGUAACACGUGGGUGAUCUGCCCUGCACUUUGGGAUAAGCCUGGGAAACUGGGUCUAAUACCGGAUAGGACUACGCGAUGCAUGUCGUGUGGUGGAAAGCUUUUGCGGUGUGGGAUGGGCCCGCGGCCUAUCAGCUUGUUGGUGGGGUGAUGGCCUACCAAGGCGACGACGGGUAGCCGGCCUGAGAGGGUGUCCGGCCACACUGGGACUGAGAUACGGCCCAGACUCCUACGGGAGGCAGCAGUGGGGAAUAUUGCACAAUGGGCGCAAGCCUGAUGCAGCGACGCCGCGUGGGGGAUGACGGCCUUCGGGUUGUAAACCCCUUUCAGCACAGACGAAGCGUAAGUGACGGUAUGUGCAGAAGAAGCACCGGCCAACUACGUG
rnacentral:rRNA from 1 species